rnacentral:rRNA from 1 species
UACGUAGGGGGCAAGCGUUAUCCGGAUUUACUGGGUGUAAAGGGAGCGCAGGCGGCCUUAAAAGUCAGAAGUGAAAGCCCGCGGCUUAACUGCGGGACUGCUUUUGAAACUUCAGGGCUAGAUUGCAGGAGAGGUAAGUGGAAUUCCUAGUGUAGCGGUGAAAUGCGUAGAUAUUAGGAGGAACACCAGUGGCGAAGGCGGCUUACUGGACUGUAAAUGACGCUGAGGCUCGAAAGCGUGGGGAGCAAAC